GACGAAGGACCCAAGCGUUAUCCGGAUUCAUUGGGUUUAAAGGGUGCGUAGGCGGGUUGAUAAGUCAGUGGUGAAAGCCCAACGCUUAACGUUGGAACUGCCAUUGAUACUGUCGAUCUUGAAUGUGUUUGAUGUGGGCGGAAUAUGACAUGUAGCGGUGAAAUGCUUAGAUAUGUCAUAGAACACCGAUUGCGAAGGCAGCUCACAAAGCCACUAUUGACGCUGAGGCACGAAGGCGUGGGGAUCAAACAGG
rnacentral:rRNA from 1 species